GCGCUCAGGCGGCGCUCCCGGAGAUGCCCCGCGGCAGCCGCGCUCUAGGCUCUAAGAGAAAAAGGAGUUGGAAUACAGAAUGCCCAUCCUUUCCAGGAGAAAGACCACUGCAGGUCAGAAGAGCAGGUCUCAGGACAGCAGGGGCAGCUGCCUCUCUCUCUGAAGCAUGGCUCAGGUGUGGAGAAGGGUUUCAGAACACUUCUGGGAAUCCGUCAUUAACAGCUGAAGAGAAGACGAUUACAGAAAAGCACCUUGAAUUAUGCCCUAGACCCAAGCAAGAAACCACCACAUCUAAAAGCACCAGUGGGCUUACAGACAUAACAUGGAGCUCCAGUGGAAGUGAUUUGUCGGAUGAAGAUAAGACACUUUCUCAGUUACAGAGAGAUGAAUUACAGUUUAUCGACUGGGAGAUUGACAGUGACAGGGCAGAGGCUAGUGACUGUAAUGAAUUUGAAGAUGACGAGGGUGCUGUGGAAAUCUCAGACUGUGCUUCUUGUGCAAGUAAUCAGUCUUUGACAAGUGAUGAGAAGCUGUCGGAGCUUCCCAAGAUAUUUUUCAGGUAGAUAUCCCUUUGGUUGCAAAUAACAGGAACCAAAUGUAGCUGGUUUUAAAAGAAGAGAAAAUUCACUAGAACAGUACUGCAAAUCUUGAGUAACUUAAGAUAAAGUUGAAGGAUGAACUGAACCUUGGGG
rnacentral:sRNA from 1 species